rnacentral:rRNA from 1 species
GAUGAACGCUGGCGGCGUGCCUAAUACAUGCAAGUCGAGCGAACAGACGAGGAGCUUGCUCCUCUGACGUUAGCGGCGGACGGGUGAGUAACACGUGGAUAACCUACCUAUAAGACUGGGAUAACUUCGGGAAACCGGAGCUAAUACCGGAUAAUAUAUUGAACCGCAUGGUUCAAUAGUGAAAGACGGUUUUGCUGUCACUUAUAGAUGGAUCCGCGCCGCAUUAGCUAGUUGGUAAGGUAACGGCUUACCAAGGCAACGAUGCGUAGCCGACCUGAGAGGGUCAUCGGCCACACUGGGACUGAGACACGGUCCCGACUCCUACGGGAGGCAGCAGUAGGGAAUCUUCCGCCAAGGGCCAAAGCCCGACGGAGCAACGCCGCGUGAGUGAUGAAGGUCCUCCGAUCCUAAAACUCUGUUAUUUGGGAAGAACAAAUGUGUAAGUAACUACGCAAGUCUUGAACGUACCUAAUCAGAAAGCCACGGCUAACUACGUG